CAAAUCGAUUAUAUAAUCAGACCGGUUUAUAAUAUUGUAGACAUUAAUACAAAGACUAAAACAGCCAGUUUAGGCAAUAUAUAAUUAUGAUUGAUUAUUAAAAGGUUCGCGUAUGAAGCAUUGGUCGUAAUUGUAGGAGUUUAUUAAAAAAUGAAUAUAUUUUCCUUCCUUAGCAAUUCAGUUUGUGUUCAAUAUGUAUAUAUUGUAUUAAAUACAAUGACACUUUGUGUCCAAGGCAUGAUGUGAUAUUUAUAUGAACCGUGUCUAAAAAAAAAGGGUUGCCAAUCCAUAUUUCUUAAAACCCUUAACUGUUUCUUAACGCCUUUUCUAUGAACUCAUCCAAAAACAAAUGGGCAUAUCAUGCAAAGGGAUCCAAAAGAAUCGAUGCCUGUGUAAACCCCGCAGUGAACAAGUGGAAUCAAUAUAACAGUAUUGAUAUGAGAGAAGAGAAUUAUGUCAAUGUCCUUGCUAAUCAAGAGAAAUUCAAGUUGUUGGAAUGGAUGAAGAAUAACAAAUUACAUCCUCGAUCAGAAACUCAUCCAAAUCCCGAUUUGUUUUCUAUAAGUCAUUUUGUUUGGGAUCCAAAAUCAAAAACAUGGCACCCUAAAUAUGAGGAAUGACGGACUACUGUAUGCUUUAGUAGUGUUUUUUGUCUUCUGGUUUGUUUUAUUUUUGUGAUGUUCUUUCAGUAUGCAAUUUUUAAUCAACAAUAUUUUCAGUUU